rnacentral:rRNA from 1 species
UACGUAGGGGGCGAGCGUUGUCCGGAAUCAUUGGGCGUAAAGCGCGUGUAGGCGGCUCGGUAAGUCCGGUGUGAAACCUUGGGGCUCAACCCCAAGCCUGCACUGGAUACUGUCGAGCUCGAGUCCGGGAGGGGAGAGCGGAAUUCCUAGUGUAGCGGUGAAAUGCGCAGAUAUUAGGAAGAACACCCGUGGCGAAGGCGGCUCUCUGGGACGGUACUGACGCUGAGACGCGAAAGCGUGGGGAGCGAACAGG